rnacentral:rRNA from 1 species
AACGAACGCUGGCGGCAUGCCUAACACAUGCAAGUCGAACGAGACCUUCGGGUCUAGGGGCGCACGGGGGCGUAACGCGUGGGAACCUGCCCAUAGGGUCGGAAUAACUCUCCGAAAGGGGUGCUAAUACCGGAUAAGAGCUUCUGACCCAAGAUUUAUCGCCUUUGGAGGUGCGCUAGUUGGAUUAGAUGGUUGGUAGGGUAAAAGCCUACCAAGGCGACGAUUCCUAACUGGGCUGAGAGGAUGAUCAGCCACCCUGGGACUGGGACACGGCCCAAACGCCUCCGGGAGGCCGCAGUCGUGACUAUUCAACACCGGGCGAAUGCCUGAUCCCGCCGUGCCGUGUGAGUGAUGAAGGACUUAGGGUUGUAAAGCUCUUUUACCCGGCAUGAUACUGCCAGUCCCGGGAGAAUAGGCUCCGGCUACCUCCGU